GAUGAACGCUGGCGGCGUGCUUAACACAUGCAAGUCGAGCGAAGCGCUUUACUUAGAUUUCUUCGGGAUGAAGAGUAUUGUGACUGAGCGGCGGACGGGUGAGUAACGCGUGGGUAACCUGCCUCAUACAGGGGGAUAACAGUUAGAAAUGACUGCUAAUACCGCAUAAGACCACAGCACCGCAUGGUGCAGGGGUAAAAACUCCGGUGGUAUGAGAUGGACCCGCGUCUGAUUAGCUGGUUGGUGGGGUAACGGCCUACCAAGGCGACGAUCAGUAGCCGGCCUGAGAGGGCGACCGGCCACAUUGGGACUGAGACACGGCCCAAACUCCUACGGGAGGCAGCAGUGGGGAAUAUUGCACAAUGGGGGAAACCCUGAUGCAGCGACGCCGCGUGAAGGAAGAAGUAUUUCGGUAUGUAAACUUCUAUCAGCAGGGAAGAAA
rnacentral:rRNA from 1 species